AAUGGUGAUGAAGGAUGGCU
rnacentral:miRNA from 1 species